UAUGCACUCUACUGUAAGUCGCUCUGGAUAAGAGCAUAUGCUAAAUGACUAAAA
rfam:Salmo salar isolate Sally breed double haploid chromosome ssa05, whole genome shotgun sequence.